GAGAGCUUAUUUUUAUUCAUUUUUAGAAGACCAAAUAGUCUUCAAACUUUAGAAUUAUUAUACAGUUACAUACACAAACCCAUUUAGGAAUUUUCAAAGAUCAUUUUGACUACAGGGGAUUCCUGACUAAAUGACUUUAGGAACCAGUGCUGCUGGAAGAUGCAUACCAUAAAGACAUAGAAUUAAUUCUUACUAAGUUCA
rnacentral:lncRNA from 1 species